rnacentral:tRNA from 1 species
GGGCCCAUGGUCUAGCGGCUAUGACACCACCUCGACAUGGUGGGGAUCGUGAGUUCAAUUCUCACUGGGCCCA